GCCAGGUGUGGUGGUGCACGUCUGUAAUCCCAGCGGCUCAGGAGGCUGAGGCAGGAGGAUUGAAGUUGGAGUCCAGCCUCAGCAAUUUAACAAGGCGCUAAGCAACUCAGUGAGACCCUGUUUCUA
rnacentral:sRNA from 1 species